UGCAUGAUAGCAUCAUUAAAGAUUUAUCGGUGUACGAUGGGGAUGCGUUCCAUUAGGUAGUAGGCGGGGUAACGGCCCACCUAGCCAACGAUGGAUAGGGGUUCUGAGAGGAAGGUCCCCCACAUUGGAACUGAGACACGGUCCAAACUCCUACGGGAGGCAGCAGUGGGGAAUAUUGGUCAAUGGACGAGAGUCUGAACCAGCCAAGUAGCGUGAAGGAUGAAGGUCCUACGGAUUGUAAACUUCUUUUAUAAGGGAAUAAACCCUCCCACGUGUGGGAGCUUGUAUGUACCUUAUGAAUAAGCAUCGGCUAACUCCGUGCCAGCAGCCGCGGUAAUACGGAGGAUGCGAGCGUUAUCCGGAUUUAUUGGGUUUAAAGGGAGCGCAGACGGGUCGUUAAGUCAGCUGUGAAAGUUUGGGGCUCAACCUUAAAAUUGCAGUUGAUACUGGCGUCCUUGAGUGCGGUUGAGGUGUGCGGAAUUCGUGGUGUAGCGGUGAAAUGCUUAGAUAUCACGAAGAACUCCGAUUGCGAAGGCAGCACACUAAUCCGUAACUGACGUUCAUGCUCGAAAGUGUGGGUAUCAAACAGGAUUAGAUACCCUGGUAGUCCACACGGUAAACGAU
rnacentral:rRNA from 1 species